rnacentral:rRNA from 1 species
AAUAUUGCGCAAUGGAGGGAACUCUGACGCAGCGACGCCGCGUGAGCGAUGAAGGUCUUCGGAUCGUAAAGCUCUGUCCUUGGGGAAGAAGGGAGCCGUAAGGCUGCUGGACGUUACCCAGUGAGGACGCCCCGGCUACCUACGUGCCAGCAGCCGCGGUACUACGUAGGGGGCAAGCUUUUUCCGGAAUUAUUGGGCGUAAAGGGUGCGUAGGCGGCCCUUUAAGUCAGAUGUGAAAGCCCACGGCUUAACCGUGGGACUGCAUUUGAAACUGGAGGGCUUGAGUGUCGGAGAGGGCAGUGGAAUUCCCAGUGUAGCGGUGGAAUGCGUAGAUAUUGGGAGGAACACCAGUGGCGAAGGCGACUGCCUGGACGAUAACUGACGCUGAGGCACGAAAGCUAGGGGAGCAAAC